CAGUGCGAGAGUGAGAUGAUGGUGUGAGAAGGCUAGAUUGGGUGGCGGAACGCACUGCUUUAGCGCUAAUACGCGGGUAAUGCGCAGGUCCGGAAGUGAUGAAGGCACAGGUCUGGAAGUGAUUCCCAGAAUCCCUAUUUUACUUCUAUGGCCGGGAUGUCACCUUAUCCCUCAGUGAGCUGAUCUGACAAGAGAUGGAUUUAUAAUAAUUGAAUGGCGACCUUCACAAAUGCAAGCAAUGUCAUCUGCCAGGUGCUUGACAACAUACCGAUGGAACGAAGGAUUCCUGCAGACCAGACCUACACAGAGUAAACGUCUUUAUUUCAGUGAUUCAAAAUUGUGGCUAUUGUUUAAUGAGAUUAAAGGA